CUUUCACUGAUGGAGCAGCAGAAGUUCCAGCUGGACAGUUGGUGAAACAGAGCUGUUUGACUUCAGCAGACAGAAACACAGACACAAGUUUCUAAACCAGAAGUUUGUCUCCAGUCGGUCUCUGAGGUUUCCAGCAGAGUGACAUCAUGGAGGACUCAUCAUCAUCUAAGACCAAGCCAGAUGAGCAACCUGAGAGGACCAGCAGCAGCGACACAGGUCGCACUGGGAGGAUUGUAGCUGGAGUCAGGUGGGCGGCGGUGAUGGAGGAGGAGUUGGAGGUGACGGGUUGCAGCAGCA